GCCAGACUCCUACGGGAGGCAGCAGUGGGGAAUAUUGCACAAUGGGGGAAACCCUGAUGCAGCGACGCCGCGUGAGUGAAGAAGUAUUUCGGUAUGUAAAGCUCUAUCAGCAGGAACGAGACAAGACGGUACCUGACUAAGAAGCCCCGGCUAACUACGUGCCAGCAGCCGCGGUAAUACGUAGGGGGCAAGCGUUAUCCGGAUUUACUGGGUGUAAAGGGGGCGCAGACGGCGAUGCAAGCCAGGAGUGAAAGCCCGGGGCCCAACCCCGGGACUGCUCUUGGAACUGCGUGGCUGGAGUGCAGGAGGGGCAGGCGGAAUUCCUGGUGUAGCGGUGAAAUGCGUAGAUAUCAGGAGGAACACCGGUGGCGAAGGCGGCCUGCUGGACUGCAACUGACGUUGAGGCCCGAAAGCGUGGGGAGCAAACAGGAUUAGAUACCCCAGUA
rnacentral:rRNA from 1 species